UGGGGAAUAUUGCACAAUGGGCGCAAGCCUGAUGCAGCCAUGCCGCGUGUGUGAAGAAGGCCUUCGGGUUGUAAAGCACUUUCAGCGGGGAGGAAGGCGAUAAGGUUAAUAACCUUGUCGAUUGACGUUACCCGCAGAAGAAGCACCGGCUAACUCCGUGCCAGCAGCCGCGGUAAUACGGAGGGUGCAAGCGUUAAUCGGAAUUACUGGGCGUAAAGCGCACGCAGGCGGUCUGUCAAGUCGGAUGUGAAAUCCCCGGGCUCAACCUGGGAACUGCAUCUGAUACUGGCAAGCUUGAGUUUCGUAGAGGGGGGUAGAAUUCCAUGUGUAGCGGUGAAAUGCGUAGAGAUGUGGAGGAAUACCGGUGGCGAAGGCGGCCACCUGGACAAAGACUGACGCUCAGGUGCGAAAGCGUGGGGAGCAAACAGG
rnacentral:rRNA from 1 species